UACGUAGGUGGCAAGCGUUGUCCGGAUUUAUUGGGUUUAAAGGGCGCGUAGGCGGCCUUCUAAGUCGAACGUGAAAUCCCUGGGCUCAACCCAGGAACUGCGUCCGAUACUGGAAGGCUUGAAUCCGGGAGAGGGAUGCGGAAUUCCAGGUGUAGCGGUGAAAUGCGUAGAUAUCUGGAGGAACACCGGUGGCGAAGGCGGCAUCCUGGACCGGUAUUGACGCUGAGGCGCGAAAGCCAGGGGAGCAAACGGG
rnacentral:rRNA from 1 species